CUCUCCUAGACACCAUUCUUCAUUUUCUGACAGAACAAUCAAGACUGCCUUUCACUGCAUUGAGUUCCAGCACAGCACUUUCUAGCAGUUUGAAGACAUAAGACAUCCUACCCAGAAAAGUAAAGACUGUUUGGCAUAAGAAAAUUGCACCAGAAUAUUUUAAGGAAUUGAGGGACCGGCCCUGGCCUGACAUGCUGGAGUC